rnacentral:rRNA from 1 species
UAGCAUAUCAAUAAGGGGAGGAAAAGAAACCAACAGGGAUUGCCUCAGUAACGGCGAGUGAAGCGGCAACAGCUCAAAUUUGAAAUCUGGCCUCGGCCCGAGUUGUAAUUUGUAGAGGAAGCUUUUGGUGCGGCACCGACCGAGUCCCCUGGAACGGGGCGCCAUAGAGGGUGAUAGCCCCGUAUGGUUGGACGCCUAUCCUCUGUAAAGCUCCUUCGACGAGUCGAGUAGUUUGGGAAUGCUGCUCUAAAUGGGAGGUAGAUUCCUUCUAAAGCUAAAUACCGGCCAGAGACCGAUAGCGCACAAGUAGAGUGAUCGAAAGAUGAAAAGCACUUUGAAAAGAGGGUUAAAUAGCACGUGAAAUUGUUGAAAGGGAAGCGCCUGUGACCAGACUUGCGCCCCGUCGAUCAUCCGGGGUUCUCCCCGGUGCGCUCGGCGGGGCUCAGGCCAGCAUCGGUUCUCGCGGGGGGACAAAGGCUCCGGGAACGUAGCUCCUCCGGGAGUGUUAUAGCCCGGGGCGUAAUGCCCUCGCGGGGACCGAGGACCGCGCUUCGGCAAGGAUGCUGGCGUAAUGGUCACCGGCGACCCGUCUUGAAACACGGACCAAGGAGUCAAGGUUUUGCGCGAGUGUCUGGGUGUAAAACCCGCACGCGUAAUGAAAGUGAACGUAGGUGAGAGCUUCGGCGCAUCAUCGACCGAUCCUGAUGUAUUCGGAUGGAUUUGAGUAGGAGCGUUAAGCCUUGGACCCGAAAGAUGGUGAACUAUGCUUGGAUAGGGUGAAGCCAGAGGAAACUCUGGUGGAGGCUCGCAGCGGUUCUGACGUGCAAAUCGAUCGUCAAAUCUGAGCAUGGGGGCGAAAGACUAAUCGAACCAUCUAGUAGCUGGUUACCGCCGAA